rnacentral:rRNA from 1 species
AGAGUUUGAUCUUGGCUCAGGACGAACGCUGGCGGCGUGCCUAACACAUGCAAGUCGAACGGACUGAUUUGAGAGCUUGCUCUUGAAGAAAGUUAGUGGCGGACGGGUGAGUAACGCGUGAGUAACCUGCCUUUCAGAGGGGGAUAACAUUCUGAAAAGGAUGCUAAUACCGCAUAACAUCUUAGUAUCGCAUGGUAUUGAGAUCAAAGGAGCAAUCCGCUGGAAGAUGGACUCGCGUCCGAUUAGCUAGUUGGCGGGAUAAAGGCCCACCAAGGCGACGAUCGGUAGCCGGACUGAGAGGUUGAACGGCCACAUUGGGACUGAGACACGGCCCAGACUCCUACGGGAGGCAGCAGUGGGGGAUAUUGCACAAUGGGGGAAACCCUGAUGCAGCAACGCCGCGUGAAGGAUGAAGGUUUUCGGAUUGUAAACUUCUGUUCUUAGUGACGAUAAUGAAGGUAGCUAAGAAGAAAGCUCCGGCUAACUACGUGCCAGCAGCCGCGGUAAUACGUAGGGAGCGAGCGUUGUCCGGAUUUACUGGGUGUAAAGGGUGCGUAGGCGGCAGAGCAAGUCAGGCGUGAAAGCCAUGGGCUUAACCCAUGAACUGCGCUUGAGACUGUUUUGCUUGAGUGAAGUAGAGGCAGGCGGAAUUCCCGGUGUAGCGGUGAAAUGCGUAGAGAUCGGGAGGAACACCAGUGGCGAAGGCGGCCUGCUGGGCUUUAACUGACGCUGAGGCACGAAAGCAUGGGUAGCAAACAGGAUUAGAUACCCUGGUAGUCCAUGCCGUAAACGAUGAUUACUAGGUGUGGGGGGUGUGACCCCCUCCGUGCCGGAGUUAACACAAUAAGUAAUCCACCUGGGGAGUACGGCCGCAAGGUUGAAACUCAAAGGAAUUGACGGGGGCCCGCACAAGCAGUGGAAUAUGUGGUUUAAUUUGAAGCAACGCGAAGAACCUUACCAGGUCUUGACAUCCGACUAACGAAGUAGAGAUACAUUAGGUGCCCUUCGGGGAAAGUCGAGACAGGUGGUGCAUGGUUGUCGUCAGCUCGUGUCGUGAGAUGUUGGGUUAGGUCCCGCAACGAGCGCAACCCUUGUCCUUAGUUGCUACGCAAGAGCACUCUAAGGAGACUGCCGUUGACAAAACGGAGGAAGGUGGGGAGGACGUCAAAUCAUCAUGCCCCUUAUGACCUGGGCUACACACGUACUACAAUGGCCAUCAACAGAGGGAAGCAAAGCCGUGAGGUAGAGCAAACCCCUAAAAAUGGUCCCAGUUCAGAUUGUAGGCUGCAACUCGCCUACAUGAAGUCGGAAUUGCUAGUAAUCGCGGAUCAGAAUGCCGCGGUGAAAAAGUUCCCGGGCCUUGC